UGGGGAAUCAUGGUCAAUGGGCGAAAGCCUGAACCUGCGACGCCGCGUGAGUGAUGAAGGUCGUAAGAUCGUAAAACUCUUUUCAGGGAUCUUAAAGCACAACCGUCAACAACGGUUGUGUGUGACUCUCCCUGGAAUAAGCCCCAGCCAACUACGUGCCAGCAGCUGCGGUAAUACGUAGGGGGCGAGCGUUAUUCGGAAUUACUGGGUGUAAAGGGUAUGUAGGCGGCCCUUCAAGUCGCGUGUCAAAGUCCAGGGCUCAACGCGGGGUGUG
rnacentral:rRNA from 1 species